CUACGGGACGCACCAGUGGGGAAUAUUGCACAAUGGGGGAAACCCUGAUGCAGCAACGCCGCGUGAAGGAAGAAGUUCUUCGGAAUGUAAACUUCUAUCAGCAAGGAAGAUAGUGACGGUACUUGACUAAGAAGCCCCGGCUAACUACGUGCCAGCAGCCGCGGUAAUACGUAGGGGGCAAGCGUUAUCCGGAAUUACUGGGUGUAAAGGGUGCGUAGACGUCUAUGACAGUCAGGUGUGAAAGCCCAGGGCUCAACUCUGGGACUGCACUUGAAACUACAUGGCUAGAGUACAGGAGAGGAAAGUGGAAUUCCUAGUGUAGCGGUGGAAUGCGUAGAUAUUAGGAGGAACACCAGUGGCGAAGGCGACUUUCUGGACUGUAACUGACGUUGAGGCACGAAAGCGUGGGGAGCAAACAGGAUUAGAUACCCCUGUAGUC
rnacentral:rRNA from 1 species